rnacentral:rRNA from 1 species
CCUACGGGAGGCAGCAGUGAGGAAUAUUGGUCAAUGGACGAGAGUCUGAACCAGCCAAGUAGCGUGAAGGAUGACUGCCCUAUGGGUUGUAAACUUCUUUUAUAUGGGAAUAAAACGUUCCACGUGUGGGAUUUUGUAUGUACCAUAUGAAUAAGGAUCGGCUAACUCCGUGCCAGCAGCCGCGGUAAUACGGAGGAUCCGAGCGUUAUCCGGAUUUAUUGGGUUUAAAGGGAGCGUAGGUGGAUUGUUAAGUCAGUUGUGAAAGUUUGCGGCUCAACCGUAAAAUUGCAGUUGAAACUGGCAGUCUUGAGUACAGUAGAGGUGGGCGGAAUGCGUGGUGUAGCGGUGAAAUGCUUAGAUAUCACGAAGAACUCCGAUUGCGAAGGCAGUUCACUGGACUGCAACUGACGCUGAGGCUCGAAAGUGUGGGUAUCAAACAGGAUUAGAUACCCCUGUAGUC